CUUUUUUACAUUAUGCUUAUAAGUAUUUAAUUUUUGGUGCUACCUGCAUUCUUUGUUGUACUAUAUAUUCCUAACACCAAAUAUAAUAUUACUAAUUUUAUUGACUUCCUAAGGAUGAGCAGCUGAGUUACCCUUGCCAGUAGUUUAAUCUGUAACUUAUAACUGACUAUGGAUCAUUCCUAUGAUGAUUAUAUUAGAUGGUACAGGUGGAUAGUGAUGCUUCAGUUUAUAUGUUCAAUAUGUUUAGAUUGUACCUGGCCUUCUCUUUAGGAAUGUCCUAAUUUUUGUUUCCACAGUGGACAGUUGUGUGCCUCUUCCCCAACAACCGUAGUGGAAAAUAUAUUUUCUUAAGAUUUCUGUAGCAUAAUAUCUAAAUAAAAUAUAUAGCAAUACCUGGAGCUGAUCUUGUCAUUCCCGUACUUUAUGAGUGACAUAUUUCCUUUAAUCAUACAUUUUUACCUACCUGCCUCGGAGCUCAUAAUUCUUUAAGUCUCACCGGAAUUUUUAACUGAUUAGCCAUCCUCCUCCAGAAUUCCAUGUGAAUGCUUCUUUACUCCAGAACUUCUAUGAAGUUUAAUUUGAUAC